GACGAACGCUGGCGGCGUGCCUAAUACAUGCAAGUAGAACGCUGAAGGAGGAGCUUGCUUCUCUGGAUGAGUUGCGAACGGGUGAGUAACGCGUAGGUAACCUGCCUGGUAGUGGGGGAUAACUAUUGGAAACGAUAGCUAAUACCGCAUAAUAGCAGUUGUUGCAUGAUAACUGUUUGAAAGGUGCAAUUGCACCGCUACCAGAUGGACCUGCGUUGUAUUAGCUAGUUGGUGGGGUAACGGCUCACCAAGGCGACGAUACAUAGCCGACCUGAGAGGGGGAUCGGCCACACUGGGACUGAGACACGGCCCAGACUCCUACGGGAGGCAGCAGUAGGGAAUCUUCGGCAAUGGACGGAAGUCUGACCGAGCAACGCCGCGUGAGUGAAGAAGGUUGUCGGAUCGUAAAGCUCUGUUGUAAGAGAAGAACGAGUGUGAGAGUGGAAAGUUCACACUGUGACGGUAUCUUACCAGAAAGGGACGGCUAACUACGUG
rnacentral:rRNA from 1 species